rnacentral:misc_RNA from 1 species
AUCCCUCAAACCCCAAUGUUUUGUAAAAGACUCAUUGCUUGGGUUUGGUUUUUGGGCCCAAUCCAUUGCCGACUUGAUUGUUUCGGCUGGCCUUAAAUACAUGAGCUGGACUUUGAAUAUCAAAGGGUCGCCUGAUUAAUAUGAUAAGUAUUAUGUUGACUGGGCCGACCUUUAUAUUGAUUUACAAGUCCGCUUCUAAUCCGGCGCGGUGAUUAAUAACCACCAACCCAAUUCAUUUCAA